GGCACGCUCUUUCGUAUGCUCUGCAGUUCAAAACUUUCUUUCUGUGCCUGUGAAUGGUCCGGCAAUGUGGGAAAUACUGAAGAAAGGACACAAGGCUUGCUGCGCAGCUGUGUGGUGUUGCCACUCGGGGAGCAGCACAAGGGCGAAAUUUUUCCAUUUCCUAGCGGAUGAGAGCCGCUGGUGGACUGCCUUUCUGGGUGCCGGAAAACUGACCAUGGAACGAGGAUGGCUGACACAGAGCAUCUCGGCUGAACUGCCACAAAGCAGCAUGGCCUGGCGGUGACAUGUGGAAUAGAAGAGAAGUGAACGAGCCGUAGUCCUGCCAGAAACGUCCCGCUGAGCCGCAAUUUUCUUCCAGCAGCCCCGAGGAAAUAACCGGGAACGCUGACUGCUUACUUCCCUAUUUUGAAAGCAACUGCCCCGCGUUUACUGCUUCAUGCUGCCCAACUUCAGUACAGCCUGAAAAAAAACCUUGGGAGGCACUAUUGGCUGGCGCUAUUGCCAUGGGCUCUGCUGCAACUAGAAUGAAACUCCAGCGCUGUCGUCGUUUCGUAAACGACGACGCAUCUAUCAUCACCUUGUGCGCCUUCCCC